rnacentral:rRNA from 1 species
GAUGAACGCUGGCGGCGUGCCUAAUACAUGCAAGUCGAGCGAACGGACGAGAAGCUUGCUUCUCUGAUGUUAGCGGCGGACGGGUGAGUAACACGUGGAUAACCUACCUAUAAGACUGGGAUAACUUCGGGAAACCGUAGCUAAUACCGGAUAAUAGUUUGAACCGCAUGGUUCAAAAGUGAAAGACGGUCUUGCUGUCACUUAUAGAUGGAUCCGCGCUGCAUUAGCUAGUUGGUAAGGUAACGGCUUACCAAGGCAACGAUGCAUAGCCGACCUGAGAGGGUGAUCGGCCACACUGGAACUGAGACACGGUCCAGACUCCUACGGGAGGCAGCAGUAGGGAAUCUUCCGCAAUGGGCGAAAGCCUGACGGAGCAACGCCGCGUGAGUGAUGAAGGUCUUCGGAUCGUAAAACUCUGUUAUUAGGGAAGAACAUAUGUGUAAGUAACUGUGCACAUCUUGACGGUACCUAAUCAGAAAGCCACGGCUAACUACGUG